UUGGUAAAGUUAGAAAGCGGCACGGCGAUGCCUUGACACUGAGGAGUCGAUGAAGGACGGGACUUAACGCCGAUUAUGGCUUCGGGGAGCCUGCUAAGUAAGCGUUGCAUCCGCAAGAAUUUUCCGAAUGGUGAAAACCCACCAUACGGAAUGGUAUGGUAUCCUUAUCUGCAAUACAUAGGUAAGGAAGACAGACCGCAGGGAACUGAAACAUCUAAGUACCUGAGAAGGAGAAAGCCAAAUGCAUUUCCUGAGUAGCGGCGAGCGAAACGGAACAUUUAGCCAAACCAAGAGAGCUUGCCUCUUGGGUUGUAGGACAUUCUAUACUGAGCUUACCAAAGGAACGAGGUUAAGACGAAGCGACCUGGAAAGCGUCCCGUCGUAGAGGUAACAACCCCCGUUAGGCGAAACUUCGUUCUCUCUGAAUGUAUCCUGAGUACCGGCGGAAAAACACGUGAAAUUCCGUCCCGGAAUCUGGAGGACCCAUCUCCCAAGGCCUAAAUUACUCCCUAAGUGAUCGAUAGUGAACCAGUACCGUGCAGGAAAGGUGAAAAAGCAACCGCCGAAGGGGAAGGAAAGAGAUCCUGAAAGGCCUACAAAUAGUCAGAGCCCGUUAAACGGGAUGGCGUGCCUUUUGUAGAAUGCAACGGCGGUUUUACGAUCCCGAGCGAGUUAAGCUGAAGAGGCGGAGCCGCAGCCGAAAAGCCGAGUCUGGAAUAGGGCGUUUUAGUACGUGCCAGUGAUCUUACCCAUGUCCAGGGUGAAGUUCAGGUAACACUGAAUGGAGGCCCGAACCACGCACGUUGAAAAGUGCGGGGAUGAGCGUGUGGGUAGCGGAGACCAAAUUCCAAUCGAACUGGAGUAGCUGGUUCUCCCCGAAAUAGCUUUAGGGCUAGCCUUAGUGUAAGAGUCUUGGAGGUAGAGCACUGAUUGACUAGGGGUCCUCAUCAUCGGAUUUAACCGAUCAGUCAACUUCCGAAUGCCAUGACUUAUCCUUAGGAGUCAGACGCGAGUGAUAAGAUCGUAGUCAAAAGGGAAACAGCCCAGACGCCAGCUAAGGUCCAAAGUGUGUAUUAAGUGGAAAGGAUGUGGAGUUGCUUAAGACAAUAAGGAUGUUGGUUAGAAGGCAGCACCAAUUUUAAAGAAGUGCGUAAUGCUCACCUAGUCGAGUGACUCUGCGCGAAAAUGUACUGGGCUAAAUCCCCCGAGUGCGGAUUGAUACAAUGGUAAAUCAGUGGUCAGGGGACGCGUUCUAAGGACAGUGAAGUAGACGUAAGGAUGUGGAGUGUUAGAAGUGCGAAUGCCGGAUGAGUAGCGCAGAGGGUGGAAAUCCGUCACGAUGUAAGGUCUUUCCCGAGGAAGGAUCGCUCGCAUCAGGGUUAGUCAGGACCUAAGCCGAGGCCGACAGGCGUAGGCGAUGGACACAGGUUUGUAUUCCCUGUACACUCUUUAUCGUUUGAGAAUGGAGGGACGCAGAAGGCAUAGAGAGCGUGCGAUUGUUGUGCACGUCAAGAGUUAGGCUGAUAAGUAGCAAAUCGCUUAUAUAAAGGCUGAGCUGUGAUGGGGAAGCUCUUAUGGAGCGAAGUCUUUUUGAUUCCCGCUGCCAAGCAGCUUCUAGCGGAGCUAAAAAGGUGCCUGUCCGCAAACGACACAGGUGGCGAGGAGAGAAUCUAAGGUGUGCGAGAGAAACUCUGGUUAAGGAACUCGCAAAAAUGACCCCCGUAACUUCGGAGAAGGGGUGCUUUCUUAAACGGAAACGCAGUGAAUAGGCAAGCGACGUUUAGCAAAACACGUCUUGCGAAGCGUAAGGCGAAAGGUAUAAGGGGUGACACCUGCCCGGUGCUGGAAGGUUAAGGAGAGGGGUUAGCGUAAGCGAAGCUCUGGAACUGAACCCAGUAAACGGCGGCCGUAACUAUAACGGCCUAAGUAGCGAAAUUCUUGUCGGGUAAGUUCCGACCGCACGGAAGGUGUUAACGAUUUGGGCACUGUCUCAACCAAGAUCGUGAAAUUAUAGUACUGUGAAGAAAUGCAGGUUACCGCGCCAGGACGGUUUGAAAGACCCGUGAGCUUUACUGUAGCCUGAUAUUGAAUUUUGGUACAGUUUGUACAGGAUAGGCGGGAGCUUUGAAACCGGAGCGCUAGUUUCGGUGGAGGCGGCUGGUGGAUACGCCCUGACUGUAUUGAAAAUUCUAACCUACGGGUCUUAUCGACCGGGAGACAGUGUCAGGUGGGCAGUUUGGACUGGGGCGGUCGCCUCCUAAAGUGUAACGGAGGCGGCCAAAGGUUUCCUCAGAUGGUUGAAUCAUUCGUAGAGUGCAAAGUUGCAUAAAGGGAGCUUGAACUGCGAGACCUACAAAGUCGAGCAGGAGAAAGUCGGGCUUAGUGAUCGGUGGUUCCGCAUGGAAGGGCCAUCGCUCAACGGAUAAAAGCUACCCGGGGAUACAGGCUUAUCUCCCACGAGUCACAUGACGGGGAGGUUUGGCACCUCGGAUGUCGCUCAUCGCAUCUGGGGCUGUAGUCGGUUCCAAGGGUUGGGCUGUUCGCCAUUAAAGCGGUACGCCGGCUGGGUUUCAGAAAGUGUGGAACGUUGCGGUCCUAUCCGUCGUGGGCGUAGGAAAUUUGAGAGAGCUGUUCCUUAGUACGAGAGGACCGGGAUGGACGCACGCUGGUGGUACCAGUUGUUCUGGCAAGGGCAUAGCUGGGUACUAAUGUGCGAGGGAAUAAGUGCUGAAAGCAUCUAAGCAUGAAGCCGCACCUCAGAUGAGAUUUCCCAUAGCGUAAGCUAGUAGAUCUGUAAAGAUGAUCAGGUUGAUGUUCGAGUGGAAGCAAUGUGACAUGUGGAGCUGACGAAUACUAUAGGACUCGAGACUUAACAUA
rnacentral:rRNA from 1 species